UGGGGAAUUUUGGACAAUGGGCGAAAGCCUGAUCCAGCAAUGCCGCGUGUGUGAAGAAGGCCUUCGGGUUGUAAAGCACUUUUGUCCGGAAAGAAAUCCUUGGCUCUAAUACAGUCGGGGGAUGACGGUACCGGAAGAAUAAGCACCGGCUAACUACGUGCCAGCAGCCGCGGUAAUACGUAGGGUGCAAGCGUUAAUCGGAAUUACUGGGCGUAAAGCGUGCGCAGGCGGUUUGCUAAGACCGAUGUGAAAUCCCCGGGCUCAACCUGGGAACUGCAUUGGUGACUGGCAGGCUAGAGUAUGGCAGAGGGGGGUAGAAUUCCACGUGUAGCAGUGAAAUGCGUAGAGAUGUGGAGGAAUACCGAUGGCGAAGGCAGCCCCCUGGGCCAAUACUGACGCUCAUGCACGAAAGCGUGGGGGAGCAAACAGGAUUAGAUACCCUGGUAGUCCACGCCCUAAACGAUGUCAACUAGUUGUGGGGAUUCAUUUCCUUAGUAACGUAGCUAACGCGUGAAGUUGACCGCCUGGGGAGUACGGUCGCAAGAUUAAAACUCAAAGGAAUUGACGGGGUCAUAGCUGUUCCU
rnacentral:rRNA from 1 species